UACGUAGGGACCAAGCGUUGUUCGGAUUUACUGGGCGUAAAGGGCGCGUAGGCGGCGUGUUAAGUCACUUGUGAAAUCUCUGAGCUUAACUCAGAACGGUCAAGUGAUACUGAUGUGCUAGAGUGCAGAAGGGGCAACCGGAAUUCUUGGUGUAGCGGUGAAAUGCGCAGAUAUCGGGAGGAACACCAAUGGCGAAGGCAGCUCGCUGGGACGGUACUGACGCUGAGGCGCGAAAGCGUGGGGAGCAAACAGG
rnacentral:rRNA from 1 species